CAAUAUGUUUGUGCCUCUUUGAAGUAUUUGCACCGCUAUUUGAUAAGUUCCUACGUGGAACGGAACGUUCCACAGCUGUCAAAAUAAUUUUACAGAACCUAUUGUAAUUGUUUAAGGGUUCAUUGACAUCAUACUCGAAAUCCAAAAGUAAUCGAUUAACAGUUUCAGAAUAAAGAUCCCAAUUAACGAGACAUGCUGCAACGCUCAGAAUUCUUACAGAAUUUAGCUAAAUGUCCAUACCUCAAGCACCGGUAGCAUUGUUUAACUGGUGGUAUAUAUGGAGUGACAUUGUGGCGCCAACCUCCAAUAUCCAGAUAUUCAGGUAAUACAGAUGCAGCAAAAGUAAUUGUCACGGUUAGAGUUGGCUGUAACACAUAUCCAUGAGUCAAGAUUCUGAGUCAGUAGAAGUAUCUUCCGAAUAUAUAUCCUUGUCAUUACAAGGUUCAUGGUCUACAUCACCUGAAUCGUCAUCUUUUUUUUUCCUUUUUCUACAACUGCGCUUCCCCAUGAAUGCUAAUUAUAUUACUGUCGCUGAAUUUAGUGAAAAUAUAAUAUUUUAUUCAAUAAUAAGAAUUGAUAGAGAUAGUUUUAAUAAAUUAAUAAAAAAAAUUUAAAAAA